GAGAACUUCCUCAGAAAUUUUCUGUCAUUGAUGGAUGCCCCUUCAGGGUAUUCCUGAGUUUCUAAAUAUCUUUUUACUUCGUGGAACCAAGGUUUCUCUUCCACUUCAUCAGUAUUAAGCUCAUAACAAUGUGCUGGUUCAUCCAAUCGCUCAAUGGUGAUCAUGGGAGCUUCAUUGUCCCAUCUGACUCUGAACAUAGAUGACAUGGUAGCCAAUGCGUCU
rnacentral:lncRNA from 1 species